UAAUACCAGCUCUCCGAGUGGUAGGGACGAUUAUUGGGCUUAAAGCGUUCGUAGCCGGCCUGGCAAGUCCCUCGUCAAAUCCAGCGACCCAAUCGCUGGGCCGCGGGAGAUACUGUCAGGCUCGGGAGCGGGAGAGGCCGACGGUAUUCCCGGGGUAGGAGUGAAAUCCUAUAAUCCCGGGAGGACCACCAGUGGCGAAGGCUGUCGGCUAGAACGCGUCCGACGGUGAGGGACGAAAGCUGGGGGAGCGAACCGGAUUAGAUACCCGGGUAGUCCCAGCUGUAAACGAUGCGGGCUAAGUGUCGGCGUGGCUAUGAGCCACUCCGGUGCCGCAGGGAAGCUCUUAAGCCCGCCGCCUGGGAAGUACGGUCGCAAGGCUG
rnacentral:rRNA from 1 species